rnacentral:rRNA from 1 species
AUUGAACGCUGGCGGCAGGCCUAACACAUGCACGUCGGGCGAACGAGGCUUCGGCCAAGUGAGCGGCGAACGGGUGAGUAACGCGUAGGAAUCUGCCUGGUAGUGGGGGACAAAGUUCAGAAAGGGACGCUAAUACCGCAUACGCCCUACGGGGGAAAGCUGGGGACGUGCGGGCCUAGCGCUAUCAGAUGAGCCUGCGUCGAGUUAGCUAGUGGGUGGGGUAAAGGCCCACCAAGGCGACGAUCCGUAACUGGUCUGAGAGGAUGAUCAGUCACACCGGAACUGAGACACGGUCCGGACUCCUACGGGAGGCAGCAGUGGGGAAUAUUGGACAAUGGGGGCAACCCUGAUCCAGCCAUGCCGCGUGUGUGAAGAAGGCCUUCGGGUUGUAAAGCACUUUAGGUCGGGAGGAAGGUUCGCUGGCUAAUAUCCAGCGGAAUUGACGUUACCGACAGGAUAAGCACCGGCUAACUCCGUGCCAGCCGCCGCGGUAA